GCACAAAUUAAUCUUAUGGCUUGCCUCUUGAAGAACCACACAAAGUUUUGGAUGUUUUUACAGUAGUGUAGCAGCAGUGAUGGUGUGAGGCUAUAAGCAUGACAGAAUUUAUAGAAAGAGAUUAGGUCUAGCAGCUGACCAUGUUGUAGUAAGCAGACACAUAAGCUCUUCUUUGGGCCUGUUUUAGAUUUGAGGAACUUAUGUCUCUGAAAGCAUGUUUUGCCUAGGAAAUAUGUUGGUCUAAUAAACCUCUUUUCCACCAGUGUUGCCCCACUGCUGAUUUAAGGAUACUCUUCAGGAGAAAAGUUUCAGCAGGAAAUUCAGCACUUACCCUUGAAACAUUAACUCGUAGACCCACAUUGUUAAAGGCACAUCAGAGGUAGGAGUGCAGUACCUCUGCAGCCAGUUACACACUGAUUUAAUUCUUCUCCCGUUCUCUCCCCACUGCCAGGCACCACCACACGCCAUCUAGUGAAGUAACAAAGAACGCUGCCAGACGUAUCGUGUGCAUGCAGGCUACAUUUAUCAUAUUAAACCAUGAAAUGAUGCCUACUGGAGAGAGCAGGCUCUUUUUUUCAAACUCCAGUUAUUUGUUUUAAGGAAAGAGCUACUUCCACCAGCUAUGUAAUUUCACAAAUCCACAAAACAAACAAGUUGCCAUUCUGCAAAACCCUCAUACCUAUGGAAUUCGCAUUUCCUGUGAGGUGUGGAUUUCAGCUGUGUGGAAUUCUCAGACCUUUCUGACCCUGACUUAUCAUUUCCUGAUGUUUUAUUGCUAAGCCAUUGAGGUUUCA
rnacentral:lncRNA from 1 species